GGACAUGAAGUAGAUGGUUAUACUUUAUUGCAGAUAUUAAGAGGUUCGAUUCCUCCAUGUCCC
rnacentral:tRNA from 1 species